rnacentral:rRNA from 1 species
GAUGAACGCUGGCGGCGUGCUUAACACAUGCAAGUCGAACGAAGCACCUCUCCCGAAGAUUGACACAGCUUGCUGUAGAUUGAUUCAUUUGAGGUGACUGAGUGGCGGACGGGUGAGUAACGCGUGGGUAACCUGCCUCAUAGAGGGGGACAACAGUUGGAAACGACUGCUAAUACCGCAUAGUAAGAAGAAUUCGCAUGUUUUCUUCUUGAAAGAUUUAUCGCUAUGAGAUGGACCCGCGUCUGAUUAGCUAGUUGGUAAGGUAACGGCUUACCAAGGCGACGAUCAGUAGCCGGCUUGAGAGAGUGAACGGCCACAUUGGGACUGAGACACGGCCCAAACUCCUACGGGAGGCAGCAGGGGGGAAUAUUGCACAAUGGGGGAAACCCUGAUGCAGCGACGCCGCGUGAGUGAAGAAGUAUUUCGGUAUGUAAAGCUCUAUCAGCAGGGAAGAUAAUGACGGUACCUGACUAAGAAGCCCCGGCUAACUACGUG